rnacentral:lncRNA from 10 species
GUUUCUUUUCAAGCCUUAUUGUCUCCCUUUCGUUUUGUAGCUUUGUAAGCUAUUAGUUUGCUUCCUCCAGCCUCUGUGCCUGCGCUCUUUGAUUCACAAAACAAGCAUUAAAUGGUCUGGAAAGCCUGGGAAAGAUCUGUCCUGAUAUUGUAAACCUUCUGUGAACUCAUUUUUCUAAACCUUGAUUACCCAUCAAAAGUCCAUGUCUCAGGAUGUCUCAGCUCUAAGGAAAUGCUUUCAAAAUUACUCCCAGCUUUGUUCCAGGCAAGUAGCUUUUUACUCAUUUUCAGCUGAUGAUUGAAUGCAAGUGCUGUGCCUGCUUUGUCAGAGUGGCAGGAUAAAGGGAGGGGGAGACCAAAAGGAGCUAUGAGACAGGGAGAGGAGGAACAAACCAGGAAUAACAAUAACAAGAGAGCCACAAGGAGCAGAGAGAAGGCAGGAGGCGAGGCGAAGUUCAAAACAGAGGUCAUUCAGCCGUGUUAACAUACUCCCUGGUAUAUUACCCGACUUACAAGUUCCGCAAACGGAGAUUCCACGUUCUCUUGGCUUGCCUUCCAUAGAAUGUCCAGGCUUUUAUGUUUUCUUUCUGAGAUGGCACAUGAAUCUCAUCAGCUCUCUCCAGCCCCCUGUCAGGAUGGACUCCUGCGCUGCUGAUCACUGGAGGCAGUCUGAGCAGAACCUAAGGAGUCCUUUGAUCCUGAACCAUUGUUCACACUUCAAUCCACCUUAUCCCAGCCACGGACUGCUGUGGUGCACAGAUAGCAAAACUCAGGUUGUUUUUUUCUCUUUGCAAAAGUGAAAAUGAGCAGGAUAAACAUGGAAUUUAAAUUUUCUCUUCAUAGUAUGGUUUCAAAGGAAUUGCGAGUCGACAAAACUAGGCAUUGCUACUUUUCUUUAACUUAGCUCAUGUAUGCCAAAAUUUGAUUGGCAUCAUUUAAGUGGAACAAAAGAAAAAGAAAACAGUGCCAAUUAAGACCACAUUAAGUAUCUCUGUAGGAAUUACACGAGUCGCAGUUGCUGAAGGCCAGACUAUUUGCACUUUGGAGUACUUAGACCUUUGGUUCUUGUCAUUUGCCAUAUAGAAUUUAUCCUAACCUGGGGUUAGGAGGGUAAGAUGGAGCAAAAAACACAGAAAAAUUAAAUGAAAUCCACUUACAUUAAUAAUUCUAAUAUUUGUUGAUAAAGAGGCUAUGACAAAUGUUAGCUAGAAUGGGCUAUUAAGAAAGUAUAUUUGAAUGUUAAAAUAUUUAGUGGAGAUCUCACCAAAUCAACAAUAUAACUCUCCUAUAAGGAGGGAAGCUAACCUUUCUUGGGCCAGAUAAUUUGAUAGUAUUUUACUUACAUUUUUAUCUCAUCUAUUCUUCCACAAGGUCUGCAGCAUACAACAGCAAAAUACUCAAAUAAGUUUUUCCUUAUGCAUUGAAUCUUUGAGACAUUUUCCCAGAACUUUCUGCAGCUCCUUGCUUAUUCUUAGAAAAAGGAGGGCACCUUAAGUAGAAAAUAUGUAAGAAGUAUUUAGUAGACUGGGUGCAGUGUGUCACGCCUGUUAUCCCAGCAUUUUGGGAGGCCGAGGCAGGUAGAUCACCUGAGGUCAGGAGUUUGAGAC